AUGUCCACCUCCAUCGCUUCGGUCUCCUCCGGCCUCGACUACAACAUCUCCGAGCCGCUCAGCCGGACGAACUACAUCCUCUGGCGAGCCCAGGUGAUCCCAGGUAAUGGCGCUGGCCUAUACGGCUACAUCGACCAAACCACAGCUGAACCUCCCAAGCUCAUCACCACCAAGGACAAGGAUGGCAAGGAUCAGGUGAUCACCAACCCUGCAUAUGCCCCCUAGUUAGUCCAAGAUCAACAGAUCGUCGCAUAUCUUCUUUGAAACCUCUCCAAGGAGGUGCUGGUUCAAGUAGCAUCGAUGGAAACAUCACAUGCGAUCUGGAUGGCUCUGAGCAACAUUUUCUCCGCCGUCUCGCUGUCCCGCGUCAACAACAUUCGUGCCUCCCUCACCAAUGCCCAGAAGGGCAACCAGCCGGCGGCGACCUCCUUCAGGCACAUGUGUGCUCUCUCCGAUGAACUUGCGGCGGUAGGCAAACCGAUCAGAGAGGACAAGCUGGUGUCGUUCAUCCUCGUGGGGCUUGACAUGGAGUAUCAGCCCAUCAUCUCAGCCAAUUUCGACCAGCGGGUCGAGAUGUUCCAUGGGACAGGCGCCGACAACUUCAAGUCCUCCGCCAACCUUGCUUCUCACGGCCGCCAGGGAUCCAACAAGGGCUCCCGCGGUCAUGAAAAGGGUGGUGGCGGUGGUGGAUCUCGCACUGGUGGCGGAGGCGGUGACUACAAUAGCAACAAUGGUGGCGGCGGCGGUCACUACGGUGGUGGUGGCAGCGGCGGCCACUAUGGUGGUGGUGGUGGCUACCAUCAUUAG
rnacentral:rRNA from 1 species